rnacentral:rRNA from 1 species
GACGAACCGUGCGAACGUUGUUCGGAAUCACUGGGCUUAAAGGGCGCGUAGGCGGGCUCGCAAGUCAGGGGUGAAAGCCCGCGGCUCAACCGCGGAAGCGCCUUUGAUACUGCGGGCCUCGAGGGGGGUAGGGGCGUGCGGAACUUCCGGUGGAGCGGUGAAAUGCGUAGAUAUCGGAAGGAACACCGGUGGAAAGCGGCGCGCUGGACCCCCACUGACGCUGAGGCGCGAAAGCCAGGGGAGCAAACGGG